AUUGGUCCUCCAGGUGUGUAUCGAUUAAUAACCUUUAAGUCUAGCUAGUAGCAUAGGACUUGAUAUUUUGAACCAUACAAGAGGCAUACCCUAUUCAAAGGUCUUGCAUUGUUCAUGUGAUCAUUCAGCCAUAGUGAUUUACAGCGUUGUAUGCUCACUUUGAGCACUACAUACAGCUCAUAUAUCAGUCUUGGACCACUAAAUAUAGGUUCAGGAGGGGAGCCCCUUUAAUCUAUUGCAAACAGGAAUUUAGACAUUUGUGCGCCAAAACUAAAGGACAUUCCAUGCCGUCCUAAUGGUGUUACAUAUUGCAGGACAGCAUGCGAUAUCCUAACAGUGGCAGGGGAUUAGGUGGUUUUGGUGUAUAUGCCAUGCACCUGCAUCUCACUGCUCAAUUAUCUGCCAUUUAGGACUUAAAGGAACACUCCAAACAUUUAGAGCACUUUAUGUUUGAAGAGUUUGCCCUUUUUUUAAAUGUUACAAAUGUUUCAUUGAGCUGCAUUGGGAAGUCUGUGAUUGGACAGCCACAGCUGGGUUAGAAUAGGAGGGCUUGCAAAGUCACAGACAACAAUGUGCAACUUUUUCAAGCUGUUUUUAGAUAUAACCUCAAUGGAAAAAAAUGCAUAAUUAAAUGCAUGCAUGUUUUCACUGUGGGUCAAUCUACUAAAUAGUGAUUUUUUUUUUAUGUGAGCAGUGGAAAGUUCCUUUAAAUCACUUUAUUUAUUCAAACAAUGUCACAACUCUUCUGCCUAUAACACAGUCUCGCUACACAGUUCCUGAAAAAAGCCUACGUUUUCUUUUAGCUUCCCUUAUUGCACAGUUAAUUUGGAAUUUCGUAUAUGCGCUGUUAAUCGCCUGCAACAACCUUCUCUAUGUGAUUAAAGUCCAACUAACCGUGCAGGUGAUAAGAUGUUGUAAAGUAAACACACUGUGCUGUAAGAUCUGAUUGAAAAUGAAACCAAUUUUUUCCCCACUAUGUGAGACACAGGCAGGAGAGGUGUGAUUAGAGCUAUAUAAACAGAAACAAAACGUGACGCCUUAAUGGCAGAGAAUUGAGAAGUGAGACUUUGUGGACAUGCACCAAAACUACCUAAGUUCUUGGGUUGCUUAGAGCGUC